rnacentral:lncRNA from 1 species
UUAAUUUAGAGAGAACUGCUACCUUAACAAUAUUAAGACUGAGUAAUUAAUAUUAUUAUUUGGUCUUCCAAUCUGAAAACACAGUAUAUCUCUCUAUUUUGGUCUUUAAUUUCUCUCAGCAAUGUUUUGUAGUUUUCCAUGUACAGGUCUUUCAAGUAUUUUUAUCAGAUUACUCUCCAUAUAUUUCAUAUUUUUGAUACUAUCUCAAAUGGUUAUUUCAAUUUCUUAUUUAUUGUCAGCAGAUAAAAAUACGAUUGAUUUUUAUGUAUGAUCUUGUAUUCUGCAACCUUGCUAAAGUCACUUUUAGUUCCAGGAAUUUUUUUUUGUAGAUUGCAUCAUGUUUUCUAUUUAAAUAAUCAUGUUAUCUGUGAAUAGAGUUUCACUUCUUCCUUUCCAAGCUGAAUGCUGUUAUAUCUUUCUUACAUUAUUUCAGUAAAAAUGUGACUACAAACUUCCAGAGGCCCUUCCAAAGAGAAUAAAGUCACUGAUUCAUCAUCACUGCCAUCACUGUUGGCAAGAAUUCUUCAAAAGCAAGUGAAAAUUGUUCCCCCUCAGUAUUAGACAGCUAUGGAAAUCCUAAGAAACUUCUGUACUGGGCUCUUAAAUUACCCCUCCCAUGAGUUUGGUCCCUAGUCUAUACACAGCUUGUAUUAGUCCGUUUUCAUGCUGCCAAUAGACAUACCCAAGACUGGGUAAGUUAUAAAGAAAGGGGUUUAAUUGACUCAUAGUUCCACAUGGCUGGGGAGGCCUCACAAUCAUGGCAGAAGAUGAAGGAAGAGCAAAGGGAUGUCUUACAUGGUGGUGGCAAAGAGAGAAAAUGAGAGCCAAGAAAAGGGCUUUCCCCUUAUAAAAUCAUAAGAUCUCAUGAGACUUAUUCACUACCACAAGAACAGUAUGGAGGAAACCGUUCCCACGAUUCAAUUAUUCCCCACCAGGUCCCUCCCACAACACGUGGGAAUUAUGGGAGCUACAAUUCAAGAUGAGAUUUGGGUGGAGACACAGCCAAACCAUAUCACACCUACACAUGUCUAUAUACACACACAGCAUUUUUCCAAAGUUUCUUCUCUUAAGGGCAGAUAGCAUUAGUUGCGGAUGCUUACUUGCUGUACCAAACCCAUUGUGAAGCCAGGCCUCCUCACUCCCAUUCUAAUGCCCUUAGGGGUAUGACUUGGGUUACCACUCCAAAUUCUCUUUUCUCUUGUGUCUCCCAGAAGGACAGUAUUUGUCAAUAUAAGACAAAAGUUCUGUUACAUACCUUCCCCUGAACAAUGGUAACUUUGGACAUCACUUCUACCUGAAAGAGACCUUCGAGCAAUUCUUCUCAGGUAAAAGGGUAUCUACUCCAAGGAAAUUUGUAAAUUCCAGUGCUAGAGGCCUGGCACAGCGGCUCAAGUCUGUAAUCCCAGCACUUUGGGAGGCCAGGGUGGGAAGAUCACCUGAGGUCAGGAAUUCAAGACCAGUCUGGCCAACAUAGCAACCCUGUCUCUACUAAAAAUGCAAAACAAUUAGCCAGGCAUGGUGGCAGUUGCCUGUAAUCCCAGCUACUCCGGAGGCUGAGGCAGGAGAAUCACUUGAACCUUGGAGGCAGAGGUUGCAGUGAGCCGAGAUCGCGCCACUGCACUCCAGCUUGGGUGACAGAGUGAGACUUUGUUUCAAAUAAAUAAAUAAAUAAGUUCUAACACUAGAAAAAAAA